rnacentral:rRNA from 1 species
AGCGAACGCUGGCGGCAGGCUUAACACAUGCAAGUCGAGCGGGCGUAGCAAUACGUCAGCGGCAGACGGGUGAGUAACGCGUGGGAACAUACCUUUUGGUUCGGAACAACACAGGGAAACUUGUGCUAAUACCGGAUAAGCCCUUACGGGGAAAGAUUUAUCGCCGAAAGAUUGGCCCGCGUCUGAUUAGCUAGUUGGUGAGGUAACGGCUCACCAAGGCGACGAUCAGUAGCGGUCUGAGAGGAUGAUCAGCCACAUUGGGACUGAGACACGGCCCAAACUCCUACGGGAGGCAGCAGUGGGGAAUAUUGGACAAUGGGCGCAAGCCUGAUCCAGCCAUGCCGCGUGAGUGAUGAAGGCCCUAGGGUUGUAAAGCUCUUUUGUGCGGGAAGAUAAUGACGGUACCGCAAGAAUAAGCCCCGGCUAACUUCGUGCCAGCAGCCG